GAUGAACGCUGGCGGCGUGCCUAAUACAUGCAAGUCGAGCGAACGGACGAGAAGCUUGCUUUUCUGAUGUUAGCGGCGGACGGGUGAGUAACACGUGGAUAACCUACCUAUAAGACUGGGAUAACUUCGGGAAACCGGAGCUAAUACCGGAUAAUAUUUUGAACCGCAUGGUUCAAAAGUGAAAGACGGUCUUGCUGUCACUUAUAGAUGGAUCCGCGCUGCAUUAGCUAGUUGGUAAGGUAACGGCUUACCAAGGCAACGAUGCAUAGCCGACCUGAGAGGGUGAUCGGCCACACUGGAACUGAGACACGGUCCAGACUCCUACGGGAGGCAGCAGUAGGGAAUCUUCCGCAAUGGGCGAAAGCCUGACGGAGCAACGCCGCGUGAGUGAUGAAGGUCUUCGGAUCGUAAAACUCUGUUAUUAGGGAAGAACAUAUGUGUAAGUAACUGUGAACAUCUUGACGGGACCUAAUCAGAAAGCCACGGCGAACUACGU
rnacentral:rRNA from 1 species